rnacentral:rRNA from 1 species
UCGGGAAUAUUGCGCAAUGGAGGAAACUCUGACGCAGUGACGCCGCGUGCAGGAAGAAGGUUUUCGGAUUGUAAACUGCUUUAGAUAGGGAAGAAAAAAAUGACAGUACCUAUAGAAUAAGCUCCGGCUAACUACGUGCCAGCAGCCGCGGUAAUACGUAGGGAGCAAGCGUUAUCCGGAUUUAUUGGGUGUAAAGGGUGCGUAGAUGGAUAAACAAGUUGUUUGUGAAAUACCUCGGCUCAACUGAGGAACUGCAAGCAAAACUGUAUAUCUUGAGUACUGGAGGGGAAAGCGGAAUUCCUA